GAUGAACGCUGACAGAAUGCUUAACACAUGCAGGUCAACUUGAACUUCGGUUUGGGUGGCGGACGGGUGAGUCACGCGUAAAGAACUUGCCUCACAGAUAGGGACAACAUUUGGAAACGAAUGCUAAUACCUGAUAUUAUGAUUAUAUGGCAUCGUAUAAUUAUGAAAGCUAUAUGCGCUGUGAGAGAGCUUUGCGUCCCAUUAGCUAGUUGGAGAGGUAACGGCUCACCAAGGCGAUGAUGGGUAGCCGGCCUGAGAGGGUGAUCGGCCACAAGGGGACUGAGACACGGCCCUUACGCCUACGGGAGGCAGCAGUGGGGAAUAUUGGACAAUGGACCAAGAGUCUGAUCCAGCAAUUCUGUGUGCACGAUGAAGUUUUUCGGAAUGUAAAGUGCUUUCAGUUGGGAAGAAAAAAAUGACGGUACCAACAGAAGAAGUGACGGCUAAAUACGUG
rnacentral:rRNA from 1 species